rnacentral:rRNA from 1 species
AUUGAACGCUGGCGGCAUGCUUUACACAUGCAAGUCGAACGGUAACAGGCCUUCGGGUGCUGACGAGUGGCGAACGGGUGAGUAAUGCAUCGGAACGUACCCAGAGGUGGGGGAUAACGCAGCGAAAGCUGUGCUAAUACCGCAUGUGAUCUGAGGAUGAAAGCGGGGGACCGAGCAGCAAUGUUUGGCCUCGCGUCUUUGGAGCGGCCGAUGUCGGAUUAGCUAGUUGGUGGGGUAAAGGCCUACCAAGGCGACGAUCCGUAGCUGGUCUGAGAGGACGACCAGCCACACUGGGACUGAGACACGGCCCAGACUCCUACGGGAGGCAGCAGCGGGGAAUUUUGGACAAUGGGCGCAAGCCUGAUCCAGCAAUGCCGCGUGCGGGAAGAAGGCCUUCGGGUUGUAAACCGCUUUUGGCAGGAACGAAACGGUGUCCGCUAAUACCGGGCGCUAAUGACGGUACCUGCAGAAUAAGCACCGGCUAACUACGUG